rnacentral:rRNA from 1 species
GGGGGGGGGGGGGGGGGGGGGGGGUGGGGGCGGGUGGGGCGGCCGGGCGAGGAGCUUGCUCCUCUGGCGUUGGCGGCGGGCGGGUGAGUACCGCGUGGAUCACCUCCCUAUAAGACUGGGAUCACUUCGGUACACCGGAGCUCAUCCCGCGUCCUCUCUUGACCCUCAUUUUUCCCUCGUUCACGGCUGUUUUACUUUCCCUUACACGUGGCUCCGCGCCGCAUUACGUAUGUUGUAAGGUAAGGGCUUACCAAGGCAACGAUGCGUAGCCGACCUGAGAGGGGGAUCGGCCACACUGGAACUGAGACACGGUCCAGACUCCUACGGGAGGCAGCAGGAGGGAAUCUUCCGCAAUGGGCGAAAGCCUGACGGAGCAACGCCGCGUGAGUGAUGAAGGUCUUCGGAUCGUAAAACUCUGUUAUUAGGGAAGAACAAAUGUGUAAGUAACUAUGCACGUCUUGACGGUACCUAAUCAGGAAGCCACGGCUAACUACGUG